rnacentral:rRNA from 1 species
GAUGAACGCUGGCGGCGUGCCUAAUACAUGCAAGUCGAGCGAACAGACGAGGAGCUUGCUCCUCUGACGUUAGCGGCGGACGGGUGAGUAACACGUGGAUAACCUACCUAUAAGACUGGGAUAACUUCGGGAAACCGGAGCUAAUACCGGAUAAUAUAUUGAACCGCAUGGUUCAAUAGUGAAAGACGGUUUUGCUGUCACUUAUAGAUGGAUCCGCGCCGCAUUAGCUAGUUGGUAAGGUAACGGCUUACCAAGGCAACGAUGCGUAGCCGACCUGAGAGGGUGAUCGGCCACCUUGAAACUGAGACACGGUCCAGACCCCUACGGGAGGCAGCAGUAGGGAAUCUGCCGCAAUGGGCGAAAGCUUGACGGAGCAACGCCGCGUGAGUGAUGAAGGUCUUCGGAUCGUAAAACUCUGUUAUUAGGGAAGAACAAAUGUGUAAGUAACUAUGCACGUCUUGACGGUACCUAAUCAGAAAGCCACGGCUAACUACGU